AUCAUGCCGCGUGAGUGAUGAAGGCCUUAGGGUUGUAAAGCUCUUUUACCUGGGAAGAUAAUGACUGUACCAGGAGAAUAAGCCCCGGCUAACUUCGUGCCAGCAGCCGCGGUAAUACGAAGGGGGCUAGCGUUGUUCGGAAUCACUGGGCGUAAAGCGCUCGUAGGCGGAUCUUUAAGUCAGAGGUGAAAUCCCAAGGCUCAACCUUGGAACUGCCUUUGAUACUGGGGAUCUCGAGUCCGGGAGAGGUGAGUGGAACUGUGAGUGUAGAGGUGAAAUUCGUAGAUACUCGCAAGAACACCAGUGGCGAAGGCGGCUCACUGGCCCGGUACUGACGCUGAGGAGCGAAAGCGUGGGGAGCAAACAGGAUUAGAUACCCUGGUAGUCCACGCCGUAAACGAUGGAUGCUAGCCGUUGGACAGCUUGCUGUUCCGUGGCGCAGUUAACGCUUUAAGCAUCCCGCCUGGGGAGUACGGUCGCAAGAUUAAAACUCAGGGGAAUUGACGGGGGG
rnacentral:rRNA from 1 species